rnacentral:tRNA from 1 species
GGUACGGUAGCUCAGCUGGUAGAGCAACCGCUCGAUAAGCGAGAGGCCAUAGGUUCGAAUCCUUUCCAUGCCA